rnacentral:rRNA from 1 species
UUCUGACCUCGAAUCAGGUGGGACUACCCGCUGAACUUAAGCAUAUCAAUAAGCGGAGGAAAAGAAACUAACAAGGAUUCCCCUAGUAACGGCGAGUGAAGUGGGAUGAGCUCAAAUUUAAAAUCUGGUAGUCUUUGGCUGCCUGAGUUGUAAUCUAGAGAAGUGUUUUCUGUGCUGGACUGUGUUCAAGUUUCCUGGAUAUGGAACAUCAUAGAGGGUGAGAAUCCCGUCCUUGACACAGAUUCCCCAGUGCUCUGUGAUGCACUCUC